rnacentral:rRNA from 1 species
CAGCAGCCGCGGUAAUACGAAGGGUGCAAGCGAUGUUCGGAUUUAUUGGGCGUAAAGGGCGCGUAGGCGGAAUUUUAAGCCAGGUGUGAAAUCUCGGGGCCUAACCCCGAAACAGCGCCUGGAACUGGAAUUCUAGAAUAUCGGAGGGGGUUGGGGAAUUUCGCAUGUAGGGGUAAAAUCCGUAGAGAUGCGAAGGAAGAUUUGUGGCGAAGGCGCCAACCUGGACGAUUAUUGACGCUGAGGCGCGAAGGCGUGGGUAGCAAACAGGAUUAGAUACCCUGGUAGUCCACGCGGUAAACGAUGAGCACUAGAUGUAGAGGACGGUUUGACGUUUUCUGCGUCGCAGCUAACGCAUUAAGUGCUCCGCCUGGGAAGUACGGUCGCAAGAUUAAAACUCAAAGGAAUUGACGGGGGCCCGCACAAGCGGUGGAUUAUGUGGUUUAAUUCGAAGCAACGCGAAGAACCUUACCUGGGCUUGAAAUCCUGUGAAGGAAGUAGAGAUAUUUUUGUGUCCGCAAGGAAACACAGUGACAGGCGCUGCAUGGCUGUCGUCAGCUCGUGUUGUGAAAUGUUGGGUUAAGUCUCGCAACGAGCGCAACCCCUAUCCUUUGUUGCCAGCAUUAAGUUGGGCACUCUGAGGAGACUGCCUGGGUUAACCAGGAGGAAGGUGGGGAUGACGUCAAGUCCUCAUGGCCCUUAUGUCCAGGGCUACACACGUAAUACAAUGGUCAGUACAGAGGGAAGCGAACCAGCGAUGGGGAGCCAAUCUCAAAAAGCUGAUCUCAGUUCGGAUUGAAGUCUGCAAUUCGACUUCAUGAAGUUGGAAUCGCUAGUAAUCGCGGAUCAGAACGCCGCGGUGAAUACGUUCCCGGGCCUUGUACACACCGCCCGUCACACCAUGGGAGUUGGUCUCAUCUUAAGCCGUGACCCUAACAGCAAUGAGGGGAGCGUCUACGGUGGGGCUGAUGACUGGGGUGAAGUCGUAACAAGGUACCCGUA